GACGAACGCUGGCGGCAUGCCUAAUACAUGCAAGUCGAACGCAGUGGGGACUGGUGAGUAACACGUGGGUAACCUCCCAUCAGAGGGGAUAACACUUGGAAACAGGUGCUAAACCGCUACUGAUGGAUGGACCCGCGGUGCAUUAGCUAGUUGGUGAGGUAACGGCUCACCAAGGCCACGAUGCAUAGCCGGCCUGAGAGGGUGAUCGGCAACACUGGGACUGAGACACGGCCCAGACUCCUACGGGAGGCAGCAGUAGGGAAUAUUCGGCAAUGGACGAAAGUCUGACCGAGCAACGCCGCGUGAGUGAAGAAGGGUUUCGGAUCGUAAAACUCUGUUGUUAGAGAAGCGGUAGCGAAAGAGAAAGACACGGCUAACUAAGUGCCAGCAGCCGCGGUAAUAC
rnacentral:rRNA from 1 species